GUACCCCAACGGCAAUCCUCAAGCAGAUUUGUAACACACAUAACAACGGGGUAGUCUAGUAUACAUGCACAAUUUUAUAUUUAAGUCGAUGGUGUUAAAACAGGAGUAAUAAAGGCUAGGUAAUGAUGUCUCAGUAGUUAGACUGCGUUUAAAACGGCAGGUCAGACAGGUAAUCUGGGCCUGCAGGGUGAAUUAGGUAAAACAGUAGGAGCUGCUGGCAAACGACACUGAUAUGGUAGAGCAGAUUGGAUAUGACUGCCUAUCCAUCACAACAGGCAGCUCAGAUGCGGUGAAAGCUUAUUGUAAUGCUAAGUGAGGGCGCUGCGUCCCCGAGUAUUAUUAUGUUGACAAUAUUGAUGGUAAUGCCACCAAAUGGAGCAGUGAUGGGAG